rnacentral:rRNA from 1 species
GACAGAGGGUGCAAACGUUUGUUCGGAAUUACUGGGCGUAAAGCGCGUGUAGGCGGCCAUCUAAGUCGGGCGUGAAAUCCCACGGCUCAACCGUGGAAGUGCACUCGAAACUGGAUGGCUAGAGUCCUGGAGAGGAAGGUGGAAUGCUUGGUGUAGAGGUGAAAUUCGUAGAUAUUCGCAAGAACACCAGUGGCGAAGGCGGCUCACUGGCCCGGUACUGACGCUCAUGCACGACAGCGUGGGGAUCAAACAGG